rnacentral:lncRNA from 10 species
CCCGCGCGCCCGCGCGGCGGAGGAGAGGUGUUAAGUGUGAUGCUUCCAUAAUACAUUUGGAUGCUGUCAGCUAAGUUCACUUCUGAACUAAGGGGUUCCUCCAAAUGUUGGCUGAAAUUCAUCCCAAGGCUGGUCUGCAAAGUCUGCAAUUCAUAAUGGAGCUACUGUACUGGCUAUUGGAAGGAGGAGAUUCUGAAGAUAAGGAGGUAAAACCUGUUUAGAAAUUAAAAAUGAGUUACGAUUUAAAGAAAAUUCAGAUGACUCAUUGUGAGUGCUAGUUCUCUUGUAGGAUGCCACUGGAAAUGUUGAAAUGAAAAAUAUUCAGCCGUUGGUCUUUGAAAUUUCCUGUGAUGUGUUUCAAUCUAGAUGCAAAGAACAUGGAAAAAUCAAAGUGCUCGAGUGGUUUAAAUAUGUUUUGGGUAUUCCUGUUUAUAGACUAUAAUACUUUUCCAAUUAAAAUCCUCAGUUGUCACGCAGAAGAAGGUUAAGCUGUAUUUGAUUGCCAGUUUUACUGAAAAUGCUUAGUAUUUUACAGUAUCACCAAAUAUAUUUUGUUUAGCCAAGGUAUAGGAAAAAUAAAAUAAAUUGUAUAGGUUGACUUUUUUCUAAAAUGUCUUUAUUGGAUUGAAUGAAUGUUUAUACC